GACGAACGCUGGCGGCGUGCUUAACACAUGCAAGUCGAACGGAAAGGCCCUGCUUUUGUGGGGUGCUCGAGUGGCGAACGGGUGAUUAACACGUGAGUAACCUGCCCUUGACUUUGGUAUAACUUCAGGAAACUGGGGCUAAUACCGGAUAGGAGCUCCUGCUGCAUGGUUGGGGUUGGAAAGUUUCGGCGGUUGGGGAUGGACUCGCGGCUUAUCAGCUUGUUGGUGGGGUAGUGGCUUACCAAGGCUUUGACGGGUAGCCGGCCUGAGAGGGUGACCGGCCACAUUGGGACUGAGAUACGGCCCAGACUCCUACGGGAGGCAGCAGUGGGGAAUAUUGCACAAUGGGCGGAAGCCUGAUGCAGCAACGCCGCGUGCGGGAUGACGGCAUUCGGGUUGUAAACCGCUUUCGCCUGUGACGAAGCGUGAGUGACGGUAAUGGGUAAAGAAGCACCGGCUAACUACGUG
rnacentral:rRNA from 1 species